UGGGGAAUUUUGGACAAUGGGCGAAAGCCUGAUCCAGCAAUGCCGCGUGUGUGAAGAAGGCCUUCGGGUUGUAAAGCACUUUUGUCCGGAAAGAAAUCCUUGGCUCUAAUACAGUCGGGGGAUGACGGUACCGGAAGAAUAAGCACCGGCUAACUACGUGCCAGCAGCCGCGGUAAUACGUAGGGUGCAAGCGUUAAUCGGAAUUACUGGGCGUAAAGCGUGCGCAGGCGGUUUGCUAAGACCGAUGUGAAAUCCCCGGGCUCAACCUGGGAACUGCAUUGGUGACUGGCAGGCUAGAGUAUGGCAGAGGGGGGUAGAAUUCCACGUGUAGCAGUGAAAUGCGUAGAGAUGUGGAGGAAUACCGAUGGCGAAGGCAGCCCCCUGGGCCAAUACUGACGCUCAUGCACGAAAGCGUGGGGGAGCAAAACAGGAUUAGAUACCCUGGUAGUCCACGCCCUAAAACGAUGUCAACUAGUUGUUGGGGAUUCAUUUCCUUAGUAACGUAGCUAACGCGUGAAGUUGACCGCCUGGGGAGUACGGUCGCAAGAUUAAAACUCAAAGGAAUUGACGGGGUCAUAGCUGUUUCCU
rnacentral:rRNA from 1 species